rnacentral:rRNA from 1 species
ACCCAGACUCCUACGGGAGGCAGCAGUGAGGAAUAUUGGUCAAUGGGCGCGAGCCUGAACCAGCCAAGUCGCGUGAGGGAUGACGGCCCUACGGGUUGUAAACCUCUUUUGUCGGGGAGCAAAUUCCGCCACGUGUGGCGGAGUCGAGAGUACCCGAAGAAAAAGCAUCGGCUAACUCCGUGCCAGCAGCCGCGGUAAUACGGAGGAUGCGAGCGUUAUCCGGAUUUAUUGGGUUUAAAGGGUGCGCAGGCGGAAGAUCAAUUCAGCGGUAAAAUUGGGAGGCUCACCCCCUUCGAGCCGUUGAAACUGGUUUUCUUGAGUGAGCGAGAAGUAUGCGGAAUGCGUGGUGUAGCGGUGAAAUGCAUAGAUAUCACGCAGAACCCCGAUUGCGAAGGCAGCGUGCCGGGCCGCCACUGACGCUGAGGCACGAAAGCGCGGGGAUCGAACAGGAUUAGAUACCCCAGUA